UAACAAGGAUUCCCCUAGUAACUGCGAGUGAAGCGGGAAAAGCUCAAAUUUAAAAUCUGGCGGUCUCCGGCCGUCCGAGUUGUAAUUUAGAGAAGCGUUAUCCGUGCUGGACCGUGUAUAAGUCUCCUGGAAUGGAGCGUCAUAGAGGGUGAGAAUCCCGUCUUUGACACGGACUACCAGUGCAUUGUGAUGCGCUCUCGACGAGUCGAGUUGUUUGGGAAUGCAGCUCAAAAUGGGUGGUAAAUGCCAUCUAAAGCUAAAUAUUGGCGAGAGACCGAUAGCGAACAAGUACCGUGAGGGAAAGAUGAAAAGAACUUUGGAAAGAGAGUUAAACAGUACGUGAAAUUGUCGAAAGGGAAACGGUUGCAGUCAGUCGCGUCCGCCGGGGAUCAACCUUGCUUUUGCUUGGCGUAUUUCCCGGUGGAUGGGUCAGCAUCAGUUUUGACCGCAGUUGAAAGGCUGGAGGAAUGUGGCACCUUCGGGUGUGUUAUAGCCUCCUGUCAUAUGCUGCGGUUGGGACUGAGGAACUCAGCACGCCGCAAGGCCGGGAUUCGUCCACGUUCGUGCUUAGGAUGCUGGCGU
rnacentral:rRNA from 1 species